rnacentral:rRNA from 1 species
GAUGAACGCUGUCGGCGUGCCUAAUACAUGCAAGUAGAACGCUGAAGGAGGAGCUUGCUCUUCUGGAUGAGUUGCGAACGUGUGAGUAACGCGUAGGUAACCUGCCUGGUAGCGGGGGAUAACUAUUGGAAACGAUAGCUAAUACCGCAUGACAACAGUUAUUGCAUGAUAACUGUUUAAAAGGGGCAACUGCUCCACUACCAGAUGGACCUGCGUUGUAUUAGCUAGUUGGUGAGGUAACGGCUCACCAAGGCGACGAUACAUAGCCGACCUGAGAGGGUGAUCGGCCACACUGGGACUGAGACACGGCCCAGACUCCUACGGGAGGCAGCAGUAGGGAAUCUUCGGCAAUGGACGGAAGUCUGACCGAGCAACGCCGCGUGAGUGAAGAAGGUUUUCGGAUCGUAAAGCUCUGUUGUAAGAGAAGAACGAGUGUGAGAGUGGAAAGUUCACACUGUGACGGUAUCUUACCAGAAAGGGACGGCUAACUACGUG